rnacentral:rRNA from 1 species
GACGAACCGUGCGAACGUUGUUCGGCCUCACUGGGCUUAAAGGGCGCGUCGGCGGUUCGCCAAGUCUGGGGUGAAAUCUUUCGGCUCAACCGGAAAAUUGCCUGGGAUACUGGCGGGCUCGAGGGAGGUAGGGGUUGCGGGAACUUCCAGUGGAGCGGUGAAAUGCGUUGAUAUUGGAAGGAACGCCAGUGGCGAAAGCGAGUAACUGGACCUCUUCUGACGCUGAGGCGCGAAAGCUAGGGGAGCAGACGGG